AGUGAACGCUGGCGGCGUGCUUAACACAUGCAAGUCGAACGAGAACGGAUUAUAGCUUGCUAUAAUUGUCAGCUAAGUGGCGCACGGGUGAGUAAUAUAUAGGUAAUGUGCCCUAGAGAAGAGGAUAACAGUUGAAAACGACUGCUAAGACUCUAUAUGCCUUUAAGACAGAAGUCUGCAAGGGAAAUAUUUAUAGCUCUAGGAUCAGCCUGUACAGUAUCAGCUAGUUGGUGAGGUAAUGGCUCACCAAGACAAUGACGCUUAACUGGUUUGAGAGGAUGAUCAGUCACACUGGAACUGAGACACGGUCCAGACUCCUACGGGAGGCAGCAGUGGGGAAUAUUGCACAAUGGACGAAAGUCUGAUGCAGCAACGCUGCGUGGAGGAUGACACAUUUCGGUGCGUAAACUCCUUUAUAUAGGAAGAUAAUGACGGUACUAUAUGAAUAAG
rnacentral:rRNA from 1 species